rnacentral:RNase_P_RNA from 1 species
GGCGGUCUGUCGCUCACCGUGACCCAAAGGCGCGGUGUGAGGAAAGUCCGGGCAACACAGAGUAUCAUAUUUCUUAACGGGAAGCUAUCAGCGAUGGUAGAGUUGAAUGUGACAGAAAAUAACCGCCACGGUCACCUCGGUGGCCGGGGUAAGGGUGAAAAGGCGGGGUAAGAGCCCACCGGGUGCGAUGGCGACACCGCACGCCGCACAACUUAUGAGUUGCAAGGUCAAGUAUAUCGGCAUUUAAGGGUUACUCGUCCAUUGCCGAGGGGUAGGCUGCUAAAGCUCGGUGGCAACACCGCGCUCAGAUAAAUGACAGACCGCAGCCCAGCGGCCGCAAGGCCGGGCUGCGACAUAACCCGGCUUAUAGCCGUGCUG